AACAAACGCUGGCGGCGUGCCUAACACAUGCAAGUCGUACGAGAAAGUCGGCUUCGGCCGAUGAGUACAGUGGCGCACGGGUGAGUAGCGCGUGGGUAAUCUGCCCCCCGGUCAGGAAUAACCCGCCGAAAGGCGGGCUAAUACCCGAUAACACUGACGCUCCGCGGAGCGUCUUUCAAAGGAGGCCUCUGUUUACAAGCUUUCGCCGGAGGAUGAGCCCGCGUACCAUUAGCUAGUUGGCAGGGUAAUGGCCUACCAAGGCUGCGAUGGUUAGCUGGUCUGAGAGGAUGGCCAGCCACACUGGAACUGAGACACGGUCCAGACUCCUACGGGAGGCAGCAGUGAGGAAUCUUGCGCAAUGGGGGAAACCCUGACGCAGCAACGCCGCGUGAGUGAGGAAGGCCUUCGGGUCGUAAAGCUCUGUCAGAUGGAAGAAAUGGUGGGGCGUAAUAUCGCCCAUCCUUGACGGUACCAUCAGAGGAAGACACCGGCUAACC
rnacentral:rRNA from 1 species